UACGAAGGGGGCUAGCGUUGUUCGGAAUCACUGGGCGUAAAGGGCGCGUAGGCGGCCAUAUAAGUCGGGGGUGAAAGCCUGUGGCUCAACCACAGAAUUGCCUUCGAUACUGUAUGGCUUGAGACCGGAAGAGGUAAGUGGAACUGCGAGUGUAGAGGUGAAAUUCGUAGAUAUUCGCAAGAACACCAGUGGCGAAGGCGGCUUACUGGUCCGGUUCUGACGCUGAGGCGCGAAAGCGUGGGGAGCAAACAGG
rnacentral:rRNA from 1 species